UUGUAUCUUGUAAGUCGUAAGUUCGAAGAUUGUGGUUGUUCGUUGAUUACUUUACACGCGAUUGCAACAGAGAAGUCAAACCAAGGAAAUGUGUGAUCUACAAAUCGGCAGGCUGUCUAAGUGUGACAAAAGCAUCUCCUUUCCAAGACUAAGAGUGUAUCAAGCUUCAUUACGGGUUCCUUCUGAAAACAACUUCAGCUCAAGAUUUUAAAAGUUCAACCUGCAGACGGGCCGGCCAGUUUGCAUAUCCUUCAAGCUUGAAGGUCGAGGGAAACAUUGUGUAAAACUGUCAAUGCGGCGGUGUAGAGGUUGGGUGAGAACUGGACGUGUUUCAUCAUUAUCAUGCAGACCCAUCCCCAUCAACGUCAACCUAAAGAAGGAAAGGCUAGUUUGCAUUUCCUUC